rnacentral:rRNA from 1 species
CUCGUAGGCGGUUUGUCGCGUCUGCUGUGAAAUCCCCAGGCUCAACCUGGGGCGUGCAGUGGGUACGGGCAGACUAGAGUGCGGUAGGGGAGACUGGAAUUCCUGGUGUAGCGGUGGAAUGCGCAGAUAUCAGGAGGAACACCGAUGGCGAAGGCAGGUCUCUGGGCCGUAACUGACGCUGAGGAGCGAAAGCAUGGGGAGCGAACA